rnacentral:rRNA from 1 species
GAGACUCUGUGCGCGUGCAUAUCAAUAAGCGGAGGAAAAGGAUUUCGAAAGAGGCAUUUGUGCGAUCUACGCGGCCUUUAACGAUUAAAUAAGGAUUUCUAUGAUUUGUAAAAAUUUGACUGUCGUUUCCGAUAGACUGUUGUUUGCCGGCAGGGAUCUGCGUGAGCUUGCAGACAAAUACGGAACUCCUCUGUAUUUGAUGGAUGAGGAGAGGAUCCGUGAAAAAUGCCGCAUUUACCGCGAGGCAAUGCGGGAGGCACUCGGAGAAAAUGCGAUGCCCGUGUAUGCAAGCAAGGCGUGCUCUUUUCGCAGAAUGUACGCCAUUAUGCGGGAAGAAAAAAUGGGCAUUGAGGUAGUUUCUCCCGGUGAGAUCCAUACCGCAAAAAGUGCGGGCGCCGAUCUUUCGGACGGCUAUUUUAACGGAAAUAAUAAAACGGGUUCGGAUAUCGCCUUCGCAAUGGACUGCGGUGUCGGCUACUUCGUGGUAGAUAACGAAGAAGAGAUCGAAGCCAUCGGGCGCAUUGCCACCGAGCGUGGAAUGGGGCAGAAGGUUCUCCUUCGCAUCACCCCCGGCAUUGAUACCCACACCUAUGAAGCCAUUCAGACCGGUCAGGUGGAUUCCAAGUUCGGAUCCGCCAUUGAGACGGGUCAGGCAAUGAAUAUCACCAAAAAAAGCCUUGCAACACGCGGGGUAGAGCUGGUUGGCUUUCAUUGCCACGUGGGAAGCCUCGUGUUUGAUUCCGACACCUUUCUCCGCAGUGCGGCAAUUAUGUUUGCCUUUAUGAAUGAGGUCCGUGAAGAAACGGGCUUUGUUGCCAAAGAGCUUUCUCUCGGCGGCGGGUACGGCGUGCGCUAUACCUACGCUUAGGAUGUUGAACUCUAUCACACACAG